rnacentral:lncRNA from 1 species
UGAGGGAUUGUUGAGGUGACGGGAAGAAAAGGAGGGAGGAGUAGGGGUGCCGCUGGGGCUACGGGUGAAUUGGUGCUGAAGUGCCACGGCUGAACGGGCACGGACCGGGCCAAGUGUCCCCGGCCCGGGCGGCUCUCGGAGCAGCGGCAAGCCCGCCUCUGGCACGGGCUCCGACUGCACCUCUGAAACGGACGCGGGAGUCGGCGGCCCAAGACCCAGGCUGGGGAACUAUUGGGAUUGGAAAGAGUGAACCACAGAUGUGUUUACCUGUUGCCUGUAACUAUAAUUGAUACAUGGUUUUCAGCAUCCAUUCUUUCAGCUACUGGGACAAAAUCAGAAGAUUAGAAACUGAUGAAGAUGAGAGGCUUGUGUGACUUAUGCAAGUGCUUCAUAUUUAAUUGGUGUGGAUGUAGCUGGGCAUCUGCAGUGACCACUUAGAUACAGAUUAUAAUAAUAUAUGACAUUCAUAUAUUGCUUUAAGAUUUCUAAAGUGCUUUAUAUCUAUUAUUUCAUUUAAAUCUCAAGACAAUACUAUAAGGUAAAUAUUUUUUUUUUUAUUUUUUGGGCUAGACAGUGGGGUUAAGUGACUUGCCCAGAGUCACACAGCUAGUAAGUGUUAUUUGUCUGAGGUCGCAUUUGAACUCAGGUCCUCCUGAAACCAGGGGGCAUACUCUAUACACUCAGCCACCUAGCUGCCCUAUAAGGUAAAUAAACUGCAACUCUGAACUACUAAGUGUCA